rnacentral:sRNA from 1 species
CCUUUUGAUCUAGUUUUACUCUUAGUGGGGAAGCUCGUCUGGUGGCUAUGUUCUACUUUUAGCUAUUUAGUAACAGAGAUGAGUUAGCGUGUUGAGGUAGAUUAGAGAUAUUAUGAAGGUAAGUGCACCUCGGGCAAAGUUUUAACAAAUGGCAGAAUCAGAUAGUAAAGAAGCUAUUUAAAAAAAUAUAUCUUUAAAAAAAAAA